rnacentral:lncRNA from 1 species
UAAAAGAUAGCGUGCAACUCCCCUAUCUUGAAGACUUGAGUCCCCAGCAACGGCGCCAGAAACUUGCUUGAUGACGAGUUGAUGGAUAUAAUUCUCGCCCCUCGUUAGUUACCCCAAGUGGAAGGUGGAGAUGUAGUCAGCAGCAAGUUUCCCUUACACAGAGACUGUAAGGUUUAUCGAACCAGGAGGACUCCAAGGAUCAA